GACAGAGGGUGCAAACGUUGUUCGGAAUUACUGGGCGUAAAGCGCGUGUAGGCGGUCGGGCAAGUCGGAUGUGAAAGCCCAGGGCUCAACCCUGGAAGUGCACUCGAUACUGCUCGGCUAGAGUCCCGGAGAGGAUGGUGGAACUCUCGGUGUAGAGGUGAAAUUCGUAGAUAUCGAGAAGAACACCGGUGGCGAAGGCGGCCAUCUGGACGGUGACUGACGCUGAGACGCGGAAAGCGUGGGGAGCAAACAGG
rnacentral:rRNA from 1 species